CUCCAAUAGCGUAUAUUAAACUUGUUGCAGUUAAAAAGCUCGUAGUUGAAUUUCUGCGUUAUCGAGUUAUUGACUCUUGUCUUUAAUCGAUUUCGCUUUUGGGAUUUAUCCCUUUUUACUUUGAGAAAAUUAGAGUGUUUCAAGCAGACUUUUGUCUUGAAUACUUCAGCAUGGAAUAAUAGAGUAGGACUUUGGUUCUAUUUUGUUGGUUUUUGAACCUUAGUAAUGGUUAAUAGGAACGGUUGGGGGCAUUCGUAUUUAACUGUCAGAGGUGAAAUUCUUAGAUUUGUUAAAGACGAACUACUGCGAAAGCAUUUGCCAAGGACGUUUCCAUUAAUCAAGAACGAAAGUUAGGGGAUCGAAGACGAUCAGAUACCGUCGUAGUCCUAA
rnacentral:rRNA from 1 species